rnacentral:rRNA from 1 species
ACGGAAGGCAGCAGUGGGGAAUAUUGCACAAUGGGGAAACCCUGAUGCAGCGACGCCGCGUGAGCGAAGAAGUAUUUCGGUAUGUAAAGCUCUAUCAGCAGGGAAGAAAAUGACGGUACCUGACUAAGAAGCUCCGGCUAAAUACGUGCCAGCAGCCGCGGUAAUACGUAUGGAGCAAGCGUUAUCCGGAUUUACUGGGUGUAAAGGGAGCGUAGGCGGCACGGCAAGCCAGAAGUGAAAUGCCGGGGCUCAACCCCGGAACUGCUUUUGGAACUGUCGAGCUAGAUUGCAGGAGAGGUAAGUGGAAUUCCUAGUGUAGCGGUGAAAUGCGUAGAUAUUAGGAGGAACACCAGUGGCGAAGGCGGCUUACUGGACUGUAAAUGACGCUGAGGCUCGAAAGCGUGGGGAGCAAACAGGAUUAGAUACCCUGGUA